rnacentral:rRNA from 1 species
UACGUAGGGCGCAAGCGUUAUCCGGAAUUAUUGGGCGUAAAGAGCUCGUAGGCGGUUUGUCGCGUCGGGAGUGAAAUCCACUGGCUUAACUGGUGGCUUGCUUUCGAUACGGGCAGACUGGAGGUAUGCAGGGGAGAACGGAAUUCCUGGUGUAGCGGUGAAAUGCGCAGAUAUCAGGAGGAACACCGGUGGCGAAGGCGGUUCUCUGGGCAUGUCCUGACGCUGAGGAGCGAAAGUGUGGGGAGCGAACAGG